ensembl:rRNA 5S_rRNA 5S ribosomal RNA
GUCUACUGCCAUACUACCCUGAAUGCGCCUGAUCUCAUGUGAUCUCAAAAGCUAAGCAGGGUCAGGCCCAGUUAGUACUGUCCAGGCACGGUGGCUC